rnacentral:tRNA from 1 species
GUUGUUUUAGUUUAUAAGAACUUUCGCCUUGCACGCGAAAAGAGGGCUGCUGUAGCCCAAAUAACA